CGCAAACAUGGCGGCGAGAAAGAAAGCGAGACACUGGACUCGGGAGGAAACUUUAGCUUUAAUUUCGGUAUGGAGUGAACCUACAUUCCAAUUUCAAUUUGAACACUGCGUACACAAUCACAAAGUUUGGCACGAAAUCUGGAAAAAAGUUUGUCAGGUUUGUCUUUCGAUACAAAACACGUUCGACUCCAUGAAAUGCAAAGACCGCAUUGAGUAUCUCAAGCGACUUUAUCGGGACUGCGUGAAGCACAACAACAAGACCGGGUCUGACCCACAACGUUGCCCAUAUUAUGAUGAACUGGACUCUGUUCUUGCAUGUCGCCCUAUGACUAACCCUAGGGGUUGGACAUAUGGAUAUGUCAAGCUCAGAUGAGCAAGAACAUUCAUCUAGCAGUGCAGACACAUCUGGAGUAU